GUGAGUGGGCGUCGCGGGCCAGUAUUUAGGCGAAUCUGGGUGGCGUAGGUUUGGGUUGGGGGCUGCAGGCUUUGAAACGGUUUUAGAGAUUUGAGGUUAACGUUGCUGUGUGUUGAAAGCCUGCACGUCGGAAACACGCAGCCCGACCGCCACGUGCCCUGAGUCCGGAUGGGGGCAGCCUUCGAGCCGAGGCUGCUGCUGAUGGCGCGGAAGCUGUGCGCGGCCUGGGUACCGAGCCCGCGCAGCCGACCGGCUGAGCCUGAGCGGCGGCGGCGGGAAAACAACUACAUUUCCAGGAUUUGGGGCGGGAAGUUACUUUUACAUUAACAGCAAGAGGCUUUUAUUACUGAACCGAGUCUUUCUCCCGUCGCCGGAUCGAAUGUUUAUUUCCGUUGAUCCACCGCAGGAACGAUGGCUUUCAGUGUAACGGAACUGUUACCUGGAGAUGCUAAGAUGCAAAGAAAAAUUUCAAAACAUAGGAGAGAACAUUUGCUGGAAAAUUACUUAGCUAAAACCUGACAAUCUUACCAGCAUCCUGGGGCUUGAUGAAUACUAAUGAAGCUGUGGACCUCAUUGACUAGCAGCUUUAUUAUGAAUGAGGGGUCGCUGUCAGCGCAAUGAAAGAGGCCAGUUUGCUGGGAAGUUCCUCAAGUGUAACCGUUUCUGGCUAGUGCCAUGAGAUUUACUUGACCUAUGAAAAACUGGUGAUCAGGAAAAGCGCUUCGUUUUACAGACAUGGAAAGAAAACAUACAAAGCAAGACGGAUUAUAUUGGGUUUUAAUUUUUUAAAUAGAUUCUGGACCAACAUAAGAUUCGAGGCAUUUCUAAUUAUUCAUGUAACACCCUCCAAGAGUCAAAACCUGUUAACCAGUAGGUUACUUCCCAGAUCUUUCUACUUUGUAAGUACAGGCAUACAUGUGAUACUAGAUAUUUCUGAUACAAAAUUCUUUUUCAGUUAACCAGCCUUGUAAUCAAAUUUUUCUGAAUGGAUGUUUUGCCUUUGGCCCCGUUUGAAUAUAAAAUGCAUAAUUGUAAUUAAAGCUGAGUGAAAGUUUAUACUGACUCUUGUGGGGAAAUCCUCGGUAAGGUUUUUAUGGAGAGAACUGUUUGGCAAUCACAAGAAUGAGGAGAGGUGGGAAACCUUGGCUUUGUAUUAAGUAUUGUCAAAAUUAAUGUUGGUGGAAGAAAAAUGUCAGGCAUCAAGGUAAUCAACCUGAUUAUUAAUUAAAUCCUGGAAUGUUUAGUCCUAAUGUAAUUUCAAAGGUUAUUGAAGGUAAAAAAAAAAAUGGGGAGUAAUACUUGGAAUAAAGGAAGAAAGCACAGCAUAACAAGGGUCAGGAGGGGAGGUUAUUGAUAAAUAAUCUGGGUUAAAACUAGUCAAACAUUACACAGUAUGGAUUUAGGGUAAACAGUAAUAGCAUCUGAUCUAACUCAGGUAGUUGGGCCUCAUGCAUGAUCAUUUUCCGUAAAUAGCUACAUGAAUAAGUUGUUCCCAGGCCCGUAUUUAAAUGUCACUCAAAAGCUAAUAUUUUUGUUGUCUUAUAAUGAACUGUCAUCUUUUUCCUAAAGUGUCUUGUUUUCCUCUCUUAGUGUAAAGAAUUCAGAUUUGGACGCAUAUGCAGUUCAAGAGAGGCUGGGGAGACUGACAAACCUGUAGUUGACUGGCCAGACACAUUAGUCUAUUUUCCCCCAAGUGUUAGGACCACGUACAAAGUGGGUCUCUAGAAAAAUUUCUCAUGGCCAUAGCAAAAUACAAAGUAUUCAUACCACCACAUAGAGAUGAAGCACUUAGUAUUUUGGGUACCUGCACAUAGGAAAAAAAAACAACAGGUCCAAGGAAUUCCACAGUGACCAUACAUGGUUAAGGAUGGUUCCAGGAAGAUGAACCUCAGCAGCAACUUUGUAGGAAAUUAAAGGGGCCUCAAAGCUUCGAGAAAUCUAGCAAUGGGAAAAGUAGUUUGGCAUAACGGUUUCCAUGUAAUUGUAUCUUGAUAUUGCCAAAAGGAAUGAGGAAAGCUGUGGGGACUUAGACAUCUUUUAGAAAUGAAAAGCACCUUCAGGCAAGAUACUGUAUGUAAAAUGCAGCAAUUGACAAAAUCAAAC
rnacentral:lncRNA from 1 species